UGGGGAAUAUUGCACAAUGGAGGGAACUCUGAUGCAGCGACUCCGCGUGAGUGAUGAAGGAAUUCGUUUCGUAAAACUCUGUUCUAUGGGAAGAAAAGGACUGUACCAUAGGAGAAAGCUCCGGCUAAAUACGUGCCAGCAGCCGCGGUAAUACGUAUGGAGCGAGCGUUGUCCGGAAUUAUUGGGCGUAAAGGGUGCGCAGGCGGCUUUACAAGUUGGAUGUGAAAUAUUGUGGCUCAACCACAAACGUGCAUCCAAAACUGCAAAGCUUGAGUUAAGGAGAGGUAAGUGGAAUUCCGGGUGUAGCGGUGGAAUGCGUAGAUAUCAGGAGGAAUACCGGUGGCGAAGGCGACUGACUGGACUUAAACUGACGCUCAGGCACGAAAGCGUGGGGAGCAAACAGG
rnacentral:rRNA from 1 species